ACACAUGCAAGUCGAACGAUGAAAGCAGGGCUUGCUUCUGCUGGAUUAGUGGCGAACGGGUGAGUAACACGUGAGUAACCUGCCCUUGACUCUGGGAUAAGCGUUGGAAACGACGUCUAAUACCGGAUACGAGCUAGGACCGCAUGGUCACUAGUUGGAAAGAACUUUGGUCAAGGAUGGACUCGCGGCCUAUCAGCUAGUUGGUGAGGUAACGGCCCACCAAGGCGACGACGGGUAGCCGGCCUGAGAGGGUGACCGGCCACACUGGGACUGAGACACGGGCCAGACUCCUACGGGAGGCAGCAGUGGGGAAUAUUGCACAAUGGGCGAAAGCCUGAUGCAGCAACGCCGCGUGA
rnacentral:rRNA from 1 species